AUGUCUGAUGUAGUGACGUUCAUAUUUUUCUAUGGUCCUGGUACUGUCCAAACAAAUGAGAUUGGGGUUGAUCUGAGUGAAUUUGAGAACAUAGAGGUUCCACUGACCGCACCUCAAACAUGGUCUCUUAGUCAGUUGAAAGAAUGGGUGACAUCAAGUUUAGGGCUGAAUACUGAAACUCAGACGGUGGGUGUUCAUGCAUUGUGGACCCGGACAAGUACAAACGUUUUAUUCUAUUUGAGGCCAAUAGAGCGGGACUCUCGGUGGGUGCGGUGGUUACAAGGUUGCGAAACCAGGGGAUGCAAUCCUUGUGCCUUAGUGCUUCCCGUUGUGAAGGAGAUAAUUUCACCUGAAGGCGAGGGUGGUUACAAUCCUGGGCAAAGCAGUGAUGUGAUGCAGCACUCAAUGUCAAAUGCUGGAGAUGAUGGUUACGAACAAGGACAGAGUAGUCAGGUACACGGAGGAAAUGCUGAUGAUUAUUACAGUGGGGAGGUGGACGCUGACGAGGUAGAUGGGCACAUGCAGAACCAGAUGGAAGAUGAGAAUACUGAUGUUGACAUUGGUCAUGCCGAUGAUUCCGACGAGUCUGAUGAAGAAGAGAACCUAGAGGAUGUGCCGAAUCCUGCAUCAUGGAAUCAUGACUUCUCAUCAGCAAUGAUCGUGAACGAUGGGCAUGAUUCUGCCUGGCAAUAUCACCAGAAUAACAUUGCGACGGGUGCUAUGUAUCCGAACAAGAACGCUCUGAAGGACGCAAUCAUUCAAUGGGCAAUGUCCACACAAAGGGUUUUCACAGCUGAGGUGUCAAGUCAGAAAUACUUGACAAUGGUAUGCAAGAAUGAAGAUUGCCCCGCCAGGGUGCAUGGCUAUCUCCCUAAGUAUGGCACAAGUUGGGUGAUUAGUGACCUAGUUCAUCACACAUGUCUUAUUCCCUGCAUCCCUCAAGAUCAUGCCAACCUUUCGUCCAUGCUUAUUGCUCGGUUGCUUUACAGUGAGAUAGUGGAGUGCAAAGCGAUGGAAGUUAAGGCUCUCCAGACAAAAGUAUUCGUCAGGUUCAAAUACAGAAUUUCUUAUGGCAAGGCUUGGAGGGCUAAGCAUAGGGCGCUUGAGACCAGAUUUGGUUCUUUUUUCGAUGCAUAUGACUCUGUUGUCCGGCUCCUCCAGACGCUGCAGGCCCGCAAUCCUGGCACCUAUGUCGACAUCCAAGACCUCUUCAUGCCAGAGUUCCCAACUGUGAGGGUGCUGCAUCGACUGUUCUUCUCUUUCGGUAUAUGCAUCGAAGCCUUCAGGCAUUGCCGACCGGUCAUAUGUGUAGAUGGCACUUUUCUCACUGGCAAGUACAAGGGUCAGAUCCUGACAGCCAUUGGUCAAGACGGACAAAAUCAAGUAGUACCACUCUCUUUUGCAUUUGUGGAGAGUGAGAACAUUGAAAGUUGGACAUGGUUCUUCAGGCAAUUGAAAGUAGCAGUUGUGAAGGAUAAGCCUAAUGUCUGCAUCCUUCAUGACAGGCAUGCAGGUAUACUCGUUGGUGCAUGCGCCAUCUGGGGGCUAAUUUCUUCUCGCAGUUCAGAAAUAAGAACCUGA
rnacentral:rRNA from 1 species